rnacentral:rRNA from 1 species
CAGCCGCCGCGGUAAUACGUAGGGUGCGAGCGUUAAUCGGAAUUACUGGGCGUAAAGCGUGCGCAGGCGGUUUGUUAAGACAGAUGUGAAAUCCCCGGGCUUAACCUGGGAACUGCAUUUGUGACUGGCCGGCUAGAGUAUGGCAGAGGGAGGUAGAAUUCCACGUGUAGCAGUGAAAUGCGUAGAUACGUGGAGGAACACCGAUGGCGAAGGCAGCCUCCUGGGCCAAUACUGACGCUCAUGCACGAAAGCGUGGGGAGCAAACAGGAUUAGAUACCCCAGUAGUCCCUGUCUCUUAUAC